GUGGGUGUGGCGAAGUUGGUUAACGCGCUAGGUUGUGACUCUGGUAUUUCGCGGGUUCAAGUCCCGUCACUCACCCCA
rnacentral:tRNA from 1 species